GAUGAACGCUAGCGGCAGGCCUAACACAUGCAAGUCGAGGGAGAAGCCCUUUCGGGGGCAGAAACCGGCGCACGGGUGCGUAACGCGUAUGCAACCCACCUUUCACAGGGGGAUAGCCCGAAGAAAUUUGGAUUAAUACCCCAUAAUAUUAUUGGAUGGCAUCAUUUGAUAAUUAAAACUGCGGUGGUGAAAGAUGGGCAUGCGUCCUAUUAGCUAGUUGGAGUGGUAACGGCACCCCAAGGCUACGAUAGGUAGGGGUCCUGAGAGGGAGAUCCCCCACACUGGUACUGAGACAGGGACCAGACUCCUACGGGAGGCAGCAGUGAGGAAUAUUGGUCAAUGGUCGGAAGACUGAACCAGCCAUGCCGCGUGCAGGAAGAAUGCCUUAUGGGUUGUAAACUGCUUUUAUAUGGGAAGAAUAAGGCGUACGUGUACGUUGAUGACGGUACCAUAUGAAUAAGCAUCGGCUAACUCCGUG
rnacentral:rRNA from 1 species